GUACGGACGUAUUCAAAGGCGUGCACCGUCCGGCGACUGCCGAGCUCCACAAGCGGUUCACGCCUCCUCCAUCGCUCCAGCAUCUGUAACAGAUAUCAUACACCACAUUUUUGUUUUGCACAGCGUGCCACUACAUCACGCUCUCACGCCCCGACUCGAUGCAAGCGUUAUGCGGCCACAGGAGCGACUGACGGUGCUGUGCACGCUGUUGCUGCUGUACGUGCUGUUCUCCGCCCCGGUGGAGUUGCUGACCCUCUUUUGGCACCGCACCACCUCCGCAGCAGUCGGCAUCUCGUCGCCGUCCCCUCUGAAGCGCCUUUCUACGGGCUCGGCGCCGGGCCUCUCCACCAACUACGCCUCCUUGUAUCUCGGGGCCGCGGUGGUGUCGAUGGAGCCGUCUUCAUGCCACGGCGGUGUGGCGCUGAUUAGCGAGAGCGUGGACAAGUACGUGCUGUGCCCCUGUGAUGCACCUCGGAAGCAAUUCGUGGUGCAGCUGAUCCGCGAUGUGCAGGUGCGCUCUGUGAUGGUGCGCAACGCUGAACACUUUAGCAGCGGUGUGCGCAACUUCACGUUGCUUGGCAGUCUACAGUACCCGACGUCCACCUGGUUAGUGCUGGGGCACUUUGAGGCGGAGCAGCGGCGCGGCCGCCAGUACUUUGACGUCGCCCCGCGCAGCCGAGUGCGCUUCAUCAAGCUGCAGUGGGCGACAUCGUAUGGACCGGAGCCGUGGUGCACGAUCACUUCUUUCCAGGUGUACGGCAUUGACGUUCUGGAGACUCUGACGCGGUACGACGGGGGCGACGACCUUGUAGCGGGCGAAGAUGCCGCUGGGGCCAGCGGCGGCCUCCGCGGCACGCCAGACAUGCAUCGUUUUCAUCUACCAGCGCUUCCCCCAACACCGGGGGAGGUGGCGGCACCGCCCUUGGCUGGCAGCAGCGCAGUUCCAUCGAGGAACGGCGCCACGUCUGCGAAUGACGCCCCGGCGCCCGCCGUUUUCAUUGACGAGCUUGCGGCUGGUAUGUGGGCCGGUGCCGCUGCGACUGUCGGAGCUUCGAGGGGGGCCGACGCCGAUGACCUCCUUCUCGCGCCUGUGGACGUCGGCGCGUCAGCCGAGACAGGGCCGCUGUCCCAGGCUGAUGCGGAUGCAAAGCGGUCUUCCCCAACCAACUCCAUAGCGCUCGCCGCGACGGCGCCUGCUCUCCAGUCGGUGAACUGCAGCGCUGCACAGCCCAUUGGCCGAAACGCGUCCGUGAAGUGCACCAUCACAGACCUGACUGCUCUGUGGGGUCCGUGUGCGGUGGCCACGUCUGGUGCGUCCGACUUCACCGCUGUGACCACCCCCACUAGCGCCCCUGCGCUGUCCGUGAGCACUCCGAGCAGCAAAGGCCUCUCCGCAUCCGGGUCUAUCUAUCAAAGCGCCGCGGGAUCUCUUCUCACGAACCUUCUUCGGCAGCAGCGCAGCACGCAUCAUGAGCUGACGUUGCUGAUGCAGCGAGAGCGCCACCUGGCCCAAGAGCUCAACCGUACCCGCAUCCUCCUCAGCGACUUCUACGCAAGGUACAAGGCAACGGAGAGGGAGGCCGGCGAGUACCGCGACCGGCUGCACGGGUUGCAGUCGAAGCUGCAACUGCUCCAAGAGCGCUUUCUUCGCGAGCACAGCAGCUGCUGCGGCGAGGGAGGCGGCGCAGGCAGAAGUGGCGGCAGCAUAAUGCGGAGCGACACAGCCAUGGCGGUGGCAUCUUUCGCGCUAUUAGCGUUGGCCGUGAUACUGAUGCUCAUGUAUUCAUCUUCGUCAUCGCGUUCUGUCGUUGGCCCCCCGAGUGGUUGGGGACGUUACUACAACAUUGGUCGUGGCAGCGGCGGGGUGGCCUCGGGUGGCGGCAACAGGCCCCCGCUCUGGCCGCGACCGCAGCGAGGCCGCGCAAGGUAGUGGAGUGAUGUGCGCUAGGCUGGGGUGGGCGACCUCUCAUGUGCUGUAGAGCCAAGCAGAGCGCGCUCUUGUGCGUCUCUCUUCGCUUGUUUCCUCCUUGGCAAGAAUGCGUGAACUUCCGAGUUUUUGUGGGCGUGCGCAGUCUGCUAGGCAUCCAACU
rnacentral:misc_RNA from 1 species